rnacentral:rRNA from 1 species
AUGAGAGCUUGCUCUUGAUGACGAGUGGCGCACGGGUGCGUAACGCGUAUGCAAUCUACCUAUAACUGAGGAUAGCCCAGAGAAAUUUGGAUUAAUACCUCAUAAUAAUUAGUUUUUUGGCAUCAUUAAUAUUUAAACUCCGGUGGUUAUAGAUGAGCAUGCGUUCUAUUAGUUUGUUGGUGAAGGUAAAGCUCACCAAGACUACGAUAGAUAGGGGGCCUGAAAGGGUGAUCCCCCACACUGGUACUGAGACACGGACCAGACUCC